rnacentral:rRNA from 1 species
UACGUAGGUGGCAAGCGUUGUCCGGCAUUAUUGGGCGUAAAGCGCGCGCAGGCGGCCUUUUUAGUCUGAUGUGAAAUCUUGCGGCUCAACCGCAAGCGGCCAUUGGAAACUGGGAGGCUUGAGUACAGAAGAGGAGAGUGGAAUUCCACGUGUAGCGGUGAAAUGCGUAGAUAUGUGGAGGAACACCAGUGGCGAAGGCGACUCUCUGGUCUGUAACUGACGCUGAGGCGCGAAAGCGUGGGGAGCAAACAGG